rnacentral:rRNA from 1 species
UACGUAGGGGGCGAGCGUUGUCCGGAAUUAUUGGGUGUAAAGGGCGUGUAGGCGGUGGUGUAGGUUAUCGGUAAAAACCCAAAGCUCAACUUUGGGCUUGCCGAUAAAACCCCAUCACUUGAGUGCAGGAGAGGAAAGUGGAAUUCCCGGAGUAGCGGUGAAAUGCGUAGAUACCGGGAGGAACACCAGUGGCGAAGGCGACUUUCUGGCCUGCUACUGACGCUGAGGCGCGAAAGCUGGGGGAGCGAACGGGAUUAGAUACCCCGGUAGUCCCAGCCGUAAACGAUGGUAACUAGGUGUGGGUAGUGGUCAAGCUAUCCGUGCCGGAGCUAACGCAAUAAGUUACCCACCUGGGGAGUACGGUCGCAAGGCUGAA